rnacentral:rRNA from 1 species
GACGAACGCUGGCGGCGUGCUUAACACAUGCAAGUCGAACGGUAAGGCCCUUCGGGGUACACGAGUGGCGAACGGGUGAGUAACACGUGGGUGAUCUGCCCUGCACUUCGGGAUAAGCCUGGGAAACUGGGUCUAAUACCGGAUAGGACCACUGCCUGCAUGGGUGGUGGUGGAAAGCUUUUGCGGUGUGGGAUGGGCCCGCGGCCUAUCAGCUUGUUGGUGGGGUGAUGGCCUACCAAGGCGACGACGGGUAGCCGGGCUGAGAGGGUGACCGGCCACACUGGGACUGAGAUACGGCCCAGACUCCUACGGGAGGCAGCAGUGGGGAAUAUUGCACAAUGGGCGCAAGCCUGAUGCAGCGACGCCGCGUGAGGGGUGACGGCCUUCGGGUUGUAAACCUCUUUCAGCACCGACGAAGCGCAAGUGACGGUAGGUGCAGAAGAAGGACCGGCCAACUACGUGCCAGCCGCCGCAGUAA